GAGUUACUAGCCUCUGAUAGGGUAGGGGAGGCUGAGAGAUUACCCAGCCCCUCUGAUAAGGCUAGGUGAGGUCUGAGAGGAGUUUUCGACCCUCUGAUAGGCUAGGUGGAGGUCUGAGAGGAGUUUCCAGCCCUCUGAUAGGCUAGGUGGAGGUCUGAGAGGAGUUUCCAGCCCUCUGAAGGCUAGGGUGGAGGUCUGAGAGGCAGUUACCCAGCCCCGUGAGAGGCGAGGUGGGGGUCUGAGAGGAUUUCCGCCCUCUGAUAGGCUAGGUGGAGGCCUGAGAGGAGUUACUAGCCCUCUGAUUGGCGUAGUGUUGAAGUCGAGAGGAGUUUUCCAGCCCUCGAAUUUGCGAGUGGGAGAUCUGAGAGGAGUUUCCAGCCCUCU
ensembl:lncRNA